rnacentral:rRNA from 1 species
AGAGUUUGAUCAUGGCUCAGAUUGAACGCUGGCGGCAGGCCUAACACAUGCAAGUCGAACGGUAACAGGAAGCAGCUUGCUGCUUCGCUGACGAGUGGCGGACGGGUGAGUAAUGUCUGGGAAGCUGCCUGAUGGAGGGGGAUAACUACUGGAAACGGUAGCUAAUACCGCAUAAUGUCGCAAGACCAAAGAGGGGGACCUUCGGGCCUCUUGCCAUCGGAUGUGCCCAGAUGGGAUUAGCUUGUUGGUGGGGUAACGGCUCACCAAGGCGACGAUCCCUAGCUGGUCUGAGAGGAUGACCAGCCACACUGGAACUGAGACACGGUCCAGACUCCUACGGGAGGCAGCAGUGGGGAAUAUUGCACAAUGGGCGCAAGCCUGAUGCAGCCAUGCCGCGUGUAUGAAGAAGGCCUUCGGGUUGUAAAGUACUUUCAGCGGGGAGGAAGGGAGUAAAGUUAAUACCUUUGCUCAUUGACGUUACCCGCAGAAGAAGCACCGGCUAACUCCGUGCCAGCAGCCGCGGUAAUACGGAGGGUGCAAGCGUUAAUCGGAAUUACUGGGCGUAAAGCGCACGCAGGCGGUUUGUUAAGUCAGAUGUGAAAUCCCCGGGCUCAACCUGGGAACUGCAUCUGAUACUGGCAAGCUUGAGUCUCGUAGAGGGGGGUAGAAUUCCAGGUGUAGCGGUGAAAUGCGUAGAGAUCUGGAGGAAUACCGGUGGCGAAGGCGGCCCCCUGGACGAAGACUGACGCUCAGGUGCGAAAGCGUGGGGAGCAAACAGGAUUAGAUACCCUGGUAGUCCACGCCGUAAACGAUGUCGACUUGGAGGUUGUGCCCUUGAGGCGUGGCUUCCGGAGCUAACGCGUUAAGUCGACCGCCUGGGGAGUACGGCCGCAAGGUUAAAACUCAAAUGAAUUGACGGGGGCCCGCACAAGCGGUGGAGCAUGUGGUUUAAUUCGAUGCAACGCGAAGAACCUUACCUGGUCUUGACAUCCACGGAAGUUUUCAGAGAUGAGAAUGUGCCUUCGGGAACCGUGAGACAGGUGCUGCAUGGCUGUCGUCAGCUCGUGUUGUGAAAUGUUGGGUUAAGUCCCGCAACGAGCGCAACCCUUAUCCUUUGUUGCCAGCGGUCCGGCCGGGAACUCAAAGGAGACUGCCAGUGAUAAACUGGAGGAAGGUGGGGAUGACGUCAAGUCAUCAUGGCCCUUACGACCAGGGCUACACACGUGCUACAAUGGCGCAUACAAAGAGAAGCGACCUCGCGAGAGCAAGCGGACCUCAUAAAGUGCGUCGUAGUCCGGAUUGGAGUCUGCAACUCGACUCCAUGAAGUCGGAAUCGCUAGUAAUCGUGGAUCAGAAUGCCACGGUGAAUACGUUCCCGGGCCUUGUACACACCGCCCGUCACACCAUGGGAGUGGGUUGCAAAAGAAGUAGGUAGCUUAACCUUCGCAGGGCGCUUACCACUUUGUGAUUCAUGACUGGGGUGAAGUCGGAACAAGGUAACCGUAGGGGAACCUGCGGUUG